rnacentral:rRNA from 1 species
UACAGAGGGUGCGAGCGUUUAAUCGGAAUUACUGGGCGUAAAGCGCGCGUAGGCGGCUUUUCAAGUCGAUUGUGAAAUCCCCGGGCUCAACCUGGGAACUGCAGUCGAGACUGUCUAGCUAGAGUAUGGGAGAGGGAAGUGGAAUUUCAGGUGUAGCGGUGAAAUGCGUAGAUAUCUGAAGGAACAUCAGUGGCGAAGGCGGCCUUCUGGACCAGUACUGACGCUGAGGCACGAAAGCGUGGGGAGCAAACAGGG